rnacentral:tRNA from 1 species
UGGGGCAUCGUCUAAUUGGCAGGACAGCAGAUUCUGACUCUGUUUAUCGAGGUUCAAAUCCUUGUGCCCCAA